rnacentral:lncRNA from 1 species
UGCCUUUGAGGCUGCAAUUUGGAAGUGGAUGACCCCGGUCAAGAAAUCCCAGCCUUCAGCCCAUGAUGCCUUUGUUGGCAACUGGAAGCCCACCAAGAAUGAUACUUUGUCCAAACGGGGACCUAACUUUGGUACCACAAUGAAUAUCCUCUAUGGUGAGAGCGUAUGCGGUCAGGGUGAUAUUGAUGCUAUGAACAACAUUGUCUCUCAUUACUUGUAUUACCUUGAUCUGUUGGGUGUCGGCCGAGAGCAGGCAGGACCUAAUGAAGAACUCUCUUGUGCUGAGCAGAAAGCCUUCAACCCAAACACCGCGCCUUCAGCUGCAUCUUCUUGAGGACGUUUAUUGUAGCCAAGCUAUUAUUGUGGGAGUGACUCUCUCUCUA